rnacentral:rRNA from 1 species
UACGUAGGGGCAAGCGUUGUUCGGAAUUACUGGGCGUAAGGGCUCGUAGGUGGCCAACUAAGUCGGACGUGAAAUCCCUCGGCUUAACCGGGGAACUGCGUCCGAUACUGGUUGGCUUGAGUUUGGGAGAGGGAUGCGGAAUUCCAGGUGUAGCGGUGAAAUGCGUAGAUAUCUGGAGGAAUACCGGUGGCGAAGGCGGCAUCCUGGACCAUUACUGACGCUGAGGCGCGAAAGCUAGGGGAGCAAACGGG